rnacentral:rRNA from 1 species
UUUGAAAGGGAAACGAUUGAAGUCAGUCGUACCUGCGGGUAAUCAGCCUUUUGGGUGUGAUUAUGUGGAGCGUGAGGAGCUAAACACCCUCAUCUUUGCAUAUUCGUGCACUUUGGGUGUACUUGCUCGUGUGGUAGGUUAACAUCAAUUUUGAUCGUCAUAAAAUGGCUAGAGGAAUGUAGCUUCGAUCUCGUAUUGAAGUGUUAUAGCCUUUGGUAGAUGUGAUGAUUAGGAUUGAGGAUUGCAACGGAUACCCUUCGGGGCUACCUGCCUGAUCUCUGAAAGUUGCUCUGGUGCUGAAAGCUUGCUUAUGGUAUCAAAGUGACGUCAAUAGUG